rnacentral:sRNA from 1 species
GGCAGGGGUCCUCAACCUCCCUCACUACUCCAUUUGCAUUCCUCCUAAAGCAAUGUGCUCUACCAAAGAGGACAAGCUUCCCCAAUGGAGGAGGAUAGUUCUUUGCUCAAAGGUAGAAGAGUAGCUGUUCCCCUGCUAAAACCUCCAGACUCUCAAAGAACUCUUUAAGAUUCAACAGAAAGAAAAUGAACAACCCAAUUACAAAAAUGAGUAAAGGACCUGAACAGACACCUU